rnacentral:rRNA from 1 species
UGCUUAACACAUGCAAGUCGAACGGUAACAAGCCGGUACCUUCGAUGACUUUAUAUUUAGAGUCAUGGAAGGUACCGGUGUUGACGAGUGGCGGACGGGUGAGUAAUACGUAGGAAUCUACCUCAUGGUGUGGGAUAACCUAGGGAAACUUAGGGUAAUACCGCAUAAGCCUUAAGAGGUAAAGCAGGGGACUUUCGGGCCUUGCGCUGUGAGAUGAGCCUACGUCGGAUUAGCUAGUUGGUAGGGUAAAGGCCUACCAAGGCGAUGAUCCGUAGCUGGUCUGAGAGGGCGACCAGCCACUCUGGGACUGAGACACGGCCCAGACUCCUACGGGAGGCAGCAGUGGGGAAUAUUGGACAAUGGGGGCAACCCUGAUCCAGCAAUGCCGCGUGUGUGAAGAAGGCCUGCGGGUUGUAAAGCAC